rnacentral:piRNA from 1 species
UGCAGCAGUCUGCAGCAAUUUUGGUCCU